rnacentral:rRNA from 1 species
AUUGAACGCUGGCGGCAUGCUUUACACAUGCAAGUCGAACGGUAACAGGCCGCAAGGUGCUGACGAGUGGCGAACGGGUGAGUAAUGCAUCGGAACGUGCCCAGUCGUGGGGGAUAACUACUCGAAAGAGUAGCUAAUACCGCAUACGAUCUAUGGAUGAAAGCGGGGGACCGUAAGGCCUCGCGCGAUUGGAGCGGCAGAUGUCAGAUUAGGUAGUUGGUGGGGUAAAGGCUGACCAAGCCAACGAUCUGUAGCUGGUCUGAGAGGACGACCGGCCACACUGGGACUGAGACACGGCCCAGACUCCUACGGGAGGCAGCAGUGGGGAAUUUUGGACAAUGGGCGCAAGCCUGAACCAGCAAUGCCGCGUGCAGGAAGAAGGCCUUCGGGUUGUAAACUGCUUUUGUACGGAACGAAACGGCUCUGGUUAAUACCCGGGGCUAAUGACGGUACCGUAAGAAUAAGCACCGGCUAACUACGUG